AACGUAGGACGCAAGCGUUAUCCGGAGUUACUGGGCGUAAAGCGCGUGCAGGCGGUCUUGCCAGUCUGAUGUGAAAUCUCCUCGCUCAACGGGGAGCAGCCAUUGGAAACUACAAGACUGGAGUCUGACAGAGGUAGGCGGAAUUCCGGGUGGAGUGGUGAAAUGCGCAGAGAUCGGGAGGAACACCCGUAGCGAAGGCGGCACUCUGGGCCGGUACUGACGCUGAGGAGCGAAAGCGUGGGGAGCAAACAGG
rnacentral:rRNA from 1 species